CCUACGGGAGGCAGCAGUAGGGAAUCUUCCGCAAUGGACGAAAGUCUGACGGAGCAACGCCGCGUGAACGAUGAAGGCCUUCGGGUCGUAAAGUUCUGUUGUUAGGGAAGAACAAGUGCUAGUUAAAUAAGCUGGCACCUUGACGGUACCUAACCAGAAAGCCACGGCUAACUACGUGCCAGCAGCCGCGGUAAUACGUAGGUGGCAAGCGUUGUCCGGAAUUAUUGGGCGUAAAGCGCGCGCAGGCGGUUUCUUAAGUCUGAUGUGAAAGCCCCCGGCUCAACCGGGGAGGGUCAUUGGAAACUGGGAAACUUGAGUGCAGAAGAGGAAAGUGGAAUUCCAAGUGUAGCGGUGAAAUGCGUAGAGAUUUGGAGGAACACCAGUGGCGAAGGCGACUUUCUGGUCUGUAACUGACGCUGAGGCGCGAAAGCGUGGGGAGCAAACAGGAUUAGAUACCCUGGUAGUCCACGCUGUAAACGAUGAGUGCUAAGUGUUAGAGGGUUUUCCGCCCUUUAGUGCUGAAGUUAACGCAUUAAGCACUCCGCCUGGGGAGUACGGUCGCAAGACUGAAACUCAAAGGAAUUGACGG
rnacentral:rRNA from 1 species